AUACCAUAACUAUAGCUGAAAAAACAAAAAUUCACUACUGAUUUUCAUGAAAUUCACAAAUCAUAGCUGAUAAACUUUCAAAGCUUUGUAUUAUUUGCGAUUAUCUUUGUCAAUAAUCAUUCGAAAAGCUUGGGACGGAGUAUUUUUUUCUUUGAUUGAGGUACUUUCUUUAUGGCUAGUAAUAAUGCAUACCAAUUGGAUCCUGGUCCACUUGACCCAUCUGUAUUAAUUGAACAACUCACCCAUAGGUCACGAGAUAGAUGGGAUGGCAAAGACAAUAUGGUUCUGAAUACAAGGAGGUGUGAUGGAAAGUUUUGGGACCUCGUAAAGAAAAAUUCCAUCAAGCCAUGAGUUUUAGAAGUGAUUAAACUAUCUGGAUUGUACUGUGUUUAUAGAUCUCAGCGGCCUAUUGUUGACCAUGGUUUGAUUACUUCACUGGUGGAGAGAUGGCGUCCCAAAACUCAUAUGUUCCACUUUAGGAUGAGUGAGGCGACGAUCACCUUCCAGGAUGUAGAGGUGUUGUAUGGUUUACCCGUGAAUAGUAAUCCAGUACUUGGGAUUGAGCAGACAAGGGACAACGCUCAUUAACAAAGUAUUUGUGCAAGAUUAUUAGGUUUUACUCCAGUUCCUGGAGACAUCAAAUAUAGUUGCCUCAAGGUAUCUGCGCUUAAUACACAUAUGCAACGUCAGCUAAAGUUGCCGGACAUGAAAACACAGGAUAUAGUUAAUCAAAUAGCUAGAUGUUGUAUGUUUUGGUUGAUUCUUUGGUACGUUGAUGGCAGAUACAUCUGGUAGUUACUUGAAGCUUAUGUACUUGCCUAUGCUCGAGGACGUUAAUGCGAUUGGGUCUUAUCGCUGUCUUUGUAAUGCCUCACAGGGUAACCAACAUGAGAUAGCAGAAUUCCUACCACUACUACAGGUUUGGGAAUGGGAGAGAGUUACAGUCCUCAUGCCCCAUAUUGUAGCACAAAGGGAUACACAAAAUAUUUUUCUAUCCGGUUUA